rnacentral:rRNA from 1 species
AUUGAACGCUGGCGGCAGGCCUAACACAUGCAAGUCGAACGAGUGGCGGACGGGUGAGUAAUGUCUGGGAAACUGCCUGAUGGAGGGGGCUAACUACUGGAAACGUUAGCUAAUACUGCAUAACAUCAGAUGUGCCCAGAUGGGAUUAGCUUGUUGGUGGGGUAACGGCUCACCAAGGCGACGAUCCCUAGCUGGCCUGAGAGGAUGACCAGCCACACUGGAACUGAGACACGGUCCAGACUCCUACGGGAGGCAGCAGUGGGGAAUAUUGGGCAAUGGGCGCAAGCCUGAUCCAGCCAUGCCGCGUGUGUGAAGAAGGCCUUCGGGUUGUAAAGUUCUGUCGGCGGGGAGGCGUUACCCAAAGAGGAAGCACCGGCUAACUCCGUGCCAGCAGCCGCGGUAAUUC